rnacentral:rRNA from 1 species
AGCACCACAACGGGUGGAGCCUGCGGUUUAAUUGGACUCAACGCCGGGCAGCUCACCGGAUAAGACAGCUGAAUGAUAGUCGGGGCUGAAGACUCUACUUGACUAGCUGAGAGGAGGUGCAUGGCCGUCGUCAGUUCGUACUGUGAAGCAUCCUGUUAAGUCAGGCAACGAGCGAGACCCACGCCAACAGUUGCCAGCUCGUCCUCCGGGAUGGUGGGGACACUGUUGGGACCGCUCUGCUAAAGAGGAGGAAGGAAUGGGCAACGGUAGGUCAGCAUGCCCCGAAUUAUCUGGGCUACACGCGGGCUACAAUGGGUGGGACAAUGGGUAUCGACACCGAAAGGUGAAGGCAAUCUCCUAAACCCAUCCGUAGUUCGGAUUGUGGGCUGCAACUCGCCCACAUGAAGCUGGAAUCUGUAGUAAUCGUGUCUCAAAAUGGCACGGUGAAUAUGUCCCUGCUCCUU